rnacentral:rRNA from 1 species
GUGAGGAAUAUUGGACAAUGGGCGCAAGCCUGAUCCAGCAAUGCCGCGUGCAGGAAGAAGGCCUUCGGGUUGUAAACUGCUUUUGUACGGAACGAAAAGGCUCUGGUUAAUACCUGGGGCUCAUGACGGUACCGUAAGAAUAAGCACCGGCUAACUACGUGCCAGCAGCCGCGGUAAUACGUAGGGUGCAAGCGUUAAUCGGAAUUACUGGGCGUAAAGCGUGCGCAGGCGGUUUUGUAAGACAGAGGUGAAAUCCCCGGGCUCAACCUGGGAAUUGCCUUGGUGACUGCAAGGCUGGAGUGCGGCAGAGGGGGAUGGAAUUCCGCGUGUAGCAGUGAAAUGCGUAGAUAUGCGGAGGAACACCGAUGGCGAAGGCAAUCCCCUGGGCCUGCACUGACGCUCAUGCACGAAAGCGUGGGGAGCAAACAGGAUUAGAAACCCCAGUAGUCC